AAGCUAUGAUGUGGGCACUUCCUUAGUAGGUCCUUGAAUCUUUCCCAAGCUUCAUACAAACUCUCUUUAUCAUGGUGGGCAAAAGUUAUUAUCUCAUUGCGAAGCUU
rnacentral:snoRNA from 1 species